rnacentral:tRNA from 1 species
GCCAGAGUGGCGAAAUUGGUAGACGCAGCGGACUCAAAAUCCGCCGGGGGCAACUCCUUGCCGGUUCGAGUCCGGCCUCUGGUAC